AUUCAAUUACCUCCCGCUGGGUCCCUCCCACGGCACAUGGACAUUACAGGAACUACAGUUCAAGAUGAGAUUUAGGUGGGGACACAGCCAAACCAUAUCAGAAACAAUCCUAGCUGAAUCUUAGGAGGCAUACAGCAAACGCGGGGGAGCAGAACGCAUGAGCACAGGCACUGAUGCUGAGCUUUCAGCUUGCCGGACCCUCAAUCGAAAAUGUUCUACAGCUGGAAGGGAGUGUGGGUGGAUCCUCUGAGUCAGUUAAAUGGAGGUCAGCUGGAGAUGCCACUGCCAGGCAGAAGCUGCUAAUUCUCACCACAGAUAAUACUAUGAGUCAUGAAUGUGAUGACAUCAUGAAUAUUUUCAAACCAAAUGCAAGUACCAGGAUGAAGCAUGCAGUCUGUCUGCUCUGAUGGAGGGAACUAAACAGCAUUUCCUGUUUCCCCUGAGUAUUGUCACUGCUCUACAU
rnacentral:lncRNA from 1 species